GAAAUGCGAUAAGUAGUGUGAAUUGCAGAAUUCAGUGAAUCAUCGAAUCUUUGAACGCACAUUGCGCCCUUUGGUAUUCCAAAGGGCAUGCCUGUUCGAGCGUCAUUUGUACCCUCAAGCUUUGCUUGGUGUUGGGCAUCUUGUCUCCAGUUCGCUGGAGACUCGCCUUAAAGUAAUUGGCAGCCGGCCUACUGGUUUCGGAGCGCAGCACAAGUCGCGCUCUCUUCCAGCCAAGGUCAGCAUCCACAAAGCCUUUUUUCAACUUUUGACCUCGGAUCAGGUAGGGAUACCCGCUGAACUUAAGC
rnacentral:misc_RNA from 1 species